AAAUUGAAGAGUUUGAUCAUGGCUCAGAUUGAACGCUGGCGGCAGGCCUAACACAUGCAAGUCGAGCGGUAGCACAGAGAGCUUGCUCUCGGGUGACGAGCGGCGGACGGGUGAGUAAUGUCUGGGAAACUGCCUGAUGGAGGGGGAUAACUACUGGAAACGGUAGCUAAUACCGCAUAACGUCGCAAGACCAAAGUGGGGGACCUUCGGGCCUCAUGCCAUCAGAUGUGCCCAGAUGGGAUUAGCUAGUAGGUGGGGUAACGGCUCACCUAGGCGACGAUCCCUAGCUGGUCUGAGAGGAUGACCAGCCACACUGGAACUGAGACACGGUCCAGACUCCUACGGGAGGCAGCAGUGGGGAAUAUUGCACAAUGGGCGCAAGCCUGAUGCAGCCAUGCCGCGUGUGAAGAAGGCCUUCGGGUUGUAAAGCACUUUCAGCGGGGAGGAAGGCGUUAAGGUUAAUAACCUUGGCGAUUGACGUUACCCGCAGAAGAAGCACCGGCUAACUCCGUGCCAGCAGCCGCGGUAAUACGGAGGGUGCAAGCGUUAAUCGGAAUUACUGGGCGUAAAGCGCACGCAGGCGGUCUGUCAAGUCGGAUGUGAAAUCCCCGGGCUCAACCUGGGAACUGCAUUCGAAACUGGCAGGCUAGAGUCUUGUAGAGGGGGGUAGAAUUCCAGGUGUAGCGGUGAAAUGCGUAGAGAUCUGGAGGAAUACCGGUGGCGAAGGCGGCCCCCUGGACAAAGACUGACGCUCAGGUGCGAAAGCGUGGGGAGCAAACAGGAUUAGAUACCCUGGUAGUCCACGCCGUAAACGAUGUCGAUUUGGAGGUUGUGCCCUUGAGGCGUGGCUUCCGGAGCUAACGCGUUAAAUCGACCGCCUGGGGAGUACGGCCGCAAGGUUAAAACUCAAAUGAAUUGACGGGGGCCCGCACAAGCGGUGGAGCAUGUGGUUUAAUUCGAUGCAACGCGAAGAACCUUACCUGGUCUUGACAUCCACAGAACUUUCCAGAGAUGGAUUGGUGCCUUCGGGAACUGUGAGACAGGUGCUGCAUGGCUGUCGUCAGCUCGUGUUGUGAAAUGUUGGGUUAAGUCCCGCAACGAGCGCAACCCUUAUCCUUUGUUGCCAGCGGUCCGGCCGGGAACUCAAAGGAGACUGCCAGUGAUAAACUGGAGGAAGGUGGGGAUGACGUCAAGUCAUCAUGGCCCUUACGACCAGGGCUACACACGUGCUACAAUGGCAUAUACAAAGAGAAGCGACCUCGCGAGAGCAAGCGGACCUCAUAAAGUAUGUCGUAGUCCGGAUUGGAGUCUGCAACUCGACUCCAUGAAGUCGGAAUCGCUAGUAAUCGUAGAUCAGAAUGCUACGGUGAAUACGUUCCCGGGCCUUGUACACACCGCCCGUCACACCAUGGGAGUGGGUUGCAAAAGAAGUAGGUAGCUUAACCUUCGGGAGGGCGCUUACCACUUUGUGAUUCAUGACUGGGGUGAAGUCGUAACAAGGUAACCGUAGGGGAACCUGCGGUUGGAUCACCUCCUUACCUUAAAGAA
rnacentral:rRNA from 1 species